rnacentral:rRNA from 1 species
UACGUAGGGUGCAAGCGUUGUCCGGAAUUAUUGGGCGUAAAGAGCUCGUAGGUGGUUUGUCGCGUCUGCUGUGAAAACGCGGGGCUCAACUCCGCGCCUGCAGUGGGUACGGGCAGACUAGAGUGCAGUAGGGGAGACUGGAAUUCCUGGUGUAGCGGUGGAAUGCGCAGAUAUCAGGAGGAACACCGGUGGCGAAGGCGGGUCUCUGGGCUGUAACUGACGCUGGAGGAGCGAAAGCGUGGGUAGCGAACAGG